UCCAGAACAUUGGUUUAAGCCAGGCUUGGGUAGUUCUUGCCUUGUGAAGUUGCAGGUGCAGAAUCCUGCUGGAAAGUUCACGGUAUAUUCUUAAAAAGUGUAUUGCUGAGAGGUUUCAAAACUUGAUCCAAGACUUUAUAUUGAUUCACUUUGGCUGAAGUUUUCUCUCCUAAUAUAUGAUACACGCCCCACCAAACCACCACUGACGCAGGCCGAUGACCACGUUGUACCUUUCCGACCACGUGAGCAGCUUCUUUAGAACUGUGAGCAUACACAUUAUCAUUUUGCUUAUUGUAGUGUUCUUCGGCAGAAGGCGUUUUGAUCGAUCCGCUCUAUUUAAUUGAAAAUAUUAAUUUAGGGCAUAUUUUCUAUAUGGACCAUAAGCACCGACCUUCGUGUCUUGUUUUAUAAUACCCGACGUAGUGGGAAUAUUCAUUUCUCGCGAUAAGAUUGUUUACUUCCUAAUAGGGUUUCGACGAAUUCUGGCUUCAACAGCAUAACAGCCUUUGUAGUUCUAAUAGAACGCGGCCGCCCUGAUUUUUUCUCGUCUUCGACAGACGAACUGCUGUAUAUAAUUCUAAUCUAGUCCCUCUGUUCAUAGUAUAAAUGGCUAAUACCAAGCUUGGGAAGUGGAAUAUGACCGACGGCUCCAUACCCACUUUGUGUAAGGCGAUCACUGCAAUCCUAUUCUCUUUAACACAUAUCCAUAUUGUAAUUUGAAAAUUAAUACGAAAAAUUUGUGUGAAAUGGCGCAAAAACGAAAGAAGUUUUUAAAAUAAAAUACGUGUUCCAAAUUCAAAAUAAUUAAAAAUUCAUUUGUAACAGAGUAGUUAUAAAAAAUUCUAAAUAAAUACUAUACGAUAAUAAUUCCCUUAGUGGUUUUUUUAGUGUCUAUGCCUUAAGUUAGUUCUUUUAUUUUGUACAACCAAAGGAAUGAGUUGCAUUAGGUUAAUGCUUUUUAGCGUUAAUGCAAAAUGCUUUUUUAAACUAUUUCUUCGAAUCGUAACUGUAAAUUGUGGAGUAAAUAUCAAUAAAAAUUCGAUUACAUUGUGAAAUAGCAUUUUAUUAACCAAGAAACAAUAGAAGUAGUAAUUCGCUUUACUGAUUAUAUUCAAUAACAUGAAGUUAACCACAUGUUGUUUUAUUUUAUUGGUAAUAAAUCUUGCGUAUUGUUGUACUGUAUGCAAAGCUAAGCCACCCCGCGAAGAUUUGUGGAAAUAUGUUAAAGUACCUCUGCCAAAACGAAAGUUUAUGUUUCGCUUAACAAACAGUACAUCCCCAUACUAAACCAAAUAAAAACUACUUGAUUA